GUUACUCAGUUCAGAUUGCAGGCUGCAACCCGCCUGCAUGAAGUCGGAACUGCUAGUAAUCGCGGAUCAGCAUGCCGCGGUGAAUACGUUCCCGGGCCUUGUACACACCGCCCGUCACACCAUGGGAGCCGGUAAUACCCGAAGUCAGUAGUCCAACCUCGUGAGGACGCUGCCGAAGGUAGGAUUGGCGACUGGGGUGAAGUCGUAACAAGGUAUC
rnacentral:rRNA from 1 species